rnacentral:rRNA from 1 species
CCUACGGGAGGCAGCAGUGGGGAAUUUGACAAUGGGGCAACCCUGAUCCAGCCAUGCCGCGUGCAGGAUGAAGGCCUUCGGGUUGUAAACUGCUUUUGUACGGAACGAAAAGACUCUGGUUAAUACCUGGGGUCCAUGACGGUACCGUAAGAAUAAGCACCGGCUAACUACGUGCCAGCAGCCGCGGUAAUACGUAGGGUGCAAGCGUUAAUCGGAAUUACUGGGCGUAAAGCGUGCGCAGGCGGUGAUGUAAGACAGAGGUGAAAUCCCCGGGCUCAACCUGGGAACUGCCUUUGUGACUGCAUCGCUGGAGUGCGGCAGAGGGGGAUGGAAUUCCGCGUGUAGCAGUGAAAUGCGUAGAUAUGCGGAGGAACACCGAUGGCGAAGGCAAUCCCCUGGGCCUGCACUGACGCUCAUGCACGAAAGCGUGGGGAGCAAACAGGAUUAGAUACCCUGGUAGUCCACGCCCUAAACGAUGUCAACUGGUUGUUGGGUUUUAAUUAACUCAGUAACGAAGCUAACGCGUGAAGUUGACCGCCUGGGGAGUACGGCCGCAAGGUUGAAACUCAAAUGAAUUGACGG